AGAUGUCCCUGUCCUCACCUGAAGCCACACAACCUGGGCCCAAGCCUACCUGGGGUUCAAGGCUCAUUCUCUUUUCAAGUAUCCAACAAGUCUCCUGAGUCCUGAGCAUUCCCAGGGGACCCAGUGGGUCCUACAGGCCAUGCCAACCAGGGCAGAGUUACAGGUGUUAUUGGGAUCACAGAACCUGUGAGUUCAGAAGUGGGGUCCAGCUUGCAGAGCUGGGUAUCCAAGGAAGAAGGAAGCCAAAGGCAAGAGUAUUCUCUUUCUCCAUCACAUCCAAGAGUUCUCUGAGAAAGGGGGAGAGGUCCAAAGCCAUGAAGAGUCCCUCUUCAUACUCAACAGCUCAGGGAAGAAACCCCAGUCAAAGGCUUCCAAAUCCUAAGGCUUGGUGUGCUGUGUCCAAGGCCCACUGAGCUGGGAAGAAAAAGACUCCCACCCCUGGCAGGAAGCAGGAAGGAUCCGCCAGGCCUGGAGCAUUCCUUCCUCCACAGUCUGCUAUAGGCCAAAGAGAGAACAAGAAGCAAAA
rnacentral:lncRNA from 1 species